GCUGUGAUGGCCAAGGGGUGAAGGCGUUGGACUCGAAGUCCAAUAAGGUUUCCCUGUGCAGGUUCAAAUCCUGCUCACAGCG
rfam:Pterocles gutturalis contig31450, whole genome shotgun sequence.